rnacentral:rRNA from 1 species
UACGUAGGGUGCAAGCGUUAAUCGGAAUUACUGGGCGUAAAGCGUGCGCAGGCGGCUUUGCAAGACAGAUGUGAAAUCCCCGGGCUCAACCUGGGAACUGCAUUUGUGACUGCAUCGCUGGAGUGCGGCAGAGGGGGAUGGAAUUCCGCGUGUAGCAGUGAAAUGCGUAGAUAUGCGGAGGAACACCGAUGGCGAAGGCAAUCCCCUGGGCCUGCACUGACGCUCAUGCACGAAAGCGUGGGGAGCAAAUAGG